AAUCCAUGGUGGGGGCAAAGUCUAAACAUAUUCUUGAAUCUAUCCUAAGCUUCAUACAGGGACUCUGUGUUGGCUUGUCUAAAACUCGCAAUCAAAUUUCACAUGUGUAC